rnacentral:misc_RNA from 1 species
GAAAUGCGAUAAGUAAUGUGAAUUGCAGAAUUCAGUGAAUCAUCGAAUUUUUGAACGCAUAUUGCGCCCUUUGGUAUUCCGAAGGGCAUACCUGUUCGAGCGUCAUUACACCCCUCAAACUUAGGUUUGAUGUUGGGCCAUUGCCCUCUGGGGCAUGCCUAAAAGAUAGUGACGGGCCUUAAUGACCACAGGCGCACAGAUGUCGCAAUGUUGGGAUGUUAAGGUCUUGUCUAAACCCAAUUUUAAAUGUUGACCUCGGAUCAGGUAGGGAUACCCGCUGAACUUAA